GAGGGAAGCCAGCUGCCAGGUCAUGAGGUUACCCAAGCAGCCCUGUGGAGGCACUCUUAUGAUGAGGAACUGAGGCCUCCUGCCAACAGCCACGUGACUGAGACACCUUGGAAGCAGAUCAUCCAGCCCGCAAGCCCCCAGAUGACUGAAGCCCCAACCCCCUUGACUAUACCCACAUGAGAAAGCCUGAGCAGAACCACUUCUCUAAACUGCUUCUAAAUUCUCAACCCACAAAAACUGUGCUGGUACUGUUGGCCCAAGAACACAUUUUGAGAAGACUGGCCUAGAGGAACCAAUAAUGUGGGCUUCUUACGGGCAGGAUGGCACUGGAGAAGAGGAUUUUCUUUAAAGAAUUCCAAGAAAUACAUCUACUUUUAGUGUUAUAAAAGGGAACUAAUACUAAAUUAUCAUGAAGAGCAUAUGCCUGUGAUCUCAGCUAUUCGGGAUGCAGAGGCAGGAGGAUCACAUGAGCUCAGAAGCUCAAGCCCAGCCUGGGCAACAUAGAAAGACACAGACUAAAAAAGAAAAAAAGAAAAAAAAGGAAGAAAAAAAAAGAAGGAAAAAAAUUAGCAUGAAAAAUUCAAGGGAGACAAGACAACAGAGCCACCUUCCUAGCCAAGAAAAACCCCAGCUUGCAGUUUACUGAAUAGAAGUGUGCCACUUGACAGAGUAGUUUUAAUGACACUGAACCUUUUGUGAGUUUUGCACUUCUCUUGGCUGAAAUCUUCAAACUGGCUCAAAGAAGCUCCAGUCUCUUCAUUCUGUAAGUGUUGAUACCAUUUGCAUAACUACCUGUCAUUAUCCCCUACCAGGUGCCUCCUUUCCAACCUUUAAUGUUUCUUCUUGAUUCAUUAUAAUUAAAGAGCUAAUGUAGCCAUUCAA